rnacentral:lncRNA from 1 species
UUUUUUUUUUUGUUUUGCCAUCUCUGAACAGCUGGAAUUCCUAACUAAAUAAACCUACACAUAACUACUUUAUAAUAUGAAAGAAAGAAAAUGCUUUCUUAAGAAUCAGGGUAGGCCAGGCCCAAUGGCUCAUGCCUGUAACCCCAGGACUUUGGGAGGCCAGGCAGGAGGACUGCCUGAGUUCAGGAGUUUGAGACCAGCACAGGCAACAUGGCAAACCCCUCUCUCUACAAAAUAUACAAAAAUUAGCUGGGUGUGGUGACCCGCGCUUGUAGUCCCAGCUACUUGGGGGACUGAGGCGGGAGG